GAUGAAGAACGUAGCGAAAUGCGAUACGUAAUGUGAAUUGCAAAUUCAGUGAAUCAUCGAGUCUUUGAACGCACAUUGCGCCCCCUGGUAUUCCGGGGGGCAUGCCUGUCCGAGCGUCAUUGCUGCCCUCAAGCACGGCUUGUGUGUUGGGCCCCGUCCUCCGAUCCCGGGGGACGGGCCCGAAAGGCAGCGGCGGCACCGCGUCCGGUCCUCGAGCGUAUGGGGCUUUGUCACCCGCUCUGUAGGCCCGGCCGGCGCUUGCCGAUCAACCCAAAUUUUUAUCCAGGUUGACCUCGGAUCAGGUAGGGAUACCCGCUGUACUUAAGCAUAUCAAUAGCGGAGGA
rnacentral:misc_RNA from 1 species